UUAAUUACAAAAUUAGUUUGUUUACAAAAAUGUCAACUUAACAAAAAGGGGAUUGUCAUAACACCCACUAGUCAGAUCGGAUUGCCGAUUCUUCAGCCUUCACCUUCCAAACUCUAGGGCUUUCGGUCCUCCAUUACCGCCAACUAGGGACCUGGAAUUGUUAUCCCACAACGGGGUGAGACGACGUCUCACCAAGUUCAAUUCCCUAAGACCCGAUUAGAAAGAAAAUAUGCCUUAAAGGCUACCUAAGCACAUUCACAUGUCUGAGGAUUCACCUUGGCCUCAGUUCCUUCCUGCAGGUUAAUACAAUUUAUAAUUCGUCGAAUCAAUUCACCACAUCAAAUCAUUCAAUCAAAUCAAAUCAUCGAUCAAUCAACUCAGUUGAUUCCAUGUCAACAUGACCAUUCUCCGGUCAUCUCAAUCAAUACUAUCUAUGAGUUUGACCAUAGUCCAGGACUGCUCACUCUAGCCGAUAUAUAAAUUAUAUAGCUCACCAGAAACUGCAAGAUCCACUGAUUGGAUAUAUUUAUUAUGCUCACCAGAAGUUGCCAGAUCCAUUGAUCCGAUAUAUUUAUUAUGUUCACUAGAAGCUACCAGAUCUACUAAUCCAAUAUAUUUGUUAUGCUCACCAAAAGCUGCCAGAUCCACUGAUGUAAUAUUCUAAGGCCAUUUUUUCUAUUUUUAUCAUACUCAAUAAAAUAUCAUGUGUGGGUACACGGUCAACCUUAGCCAAAUUACCAUAAUUUCCUUUUCAUAAAUCUCACCAUUUUAUAAAAUCCACCAAAAUCUUUUUGGCGUUGUAAACUGACGCCCGGUUAUUUUCCACUCAAUUACUGAAAUUAAAUGAAUUUAAGAAUAAAUUCCAAAAAUACAAAUCAUGCACAAUCAGCACAAAUUAGAGCUCAAUUAAAUAAACAAGCCACACCACUACAAUCAGCAUAAAAUUCCGGUUACCAGAUAUCCGGUCUAAUUUCCAAAAAAAAAAUUAAUUAAUUAAUUUCGAAAAUUAAUUAUUAAAUGCUAAAAGUUCACACUUAGGCUCAAAAAGUCUAAUUAAAUACUGAAACGGGCCCGGAAAAUUUUCGAACCACUCUAUAUAAAUUUUAGAGCUUGUCUAGGCUCUAACUACACUACUCUAACCACCUAACAUGUAUCAAUAAUUAAUUAAUUUACUAAACCGUUCUAAUUAUCCACUAAACCAAGUUUAGUCUAAACUAAACAACCCUUAAACGUAAUUAACCGACUAAGCGAGAAUUAGUGAGAUAAACUCACUUGUUUAUCGAACUGGUCGAUUCAAAUCGAUGGGGAUGCUACAGUGCUCGAUCCUCUCCAAAGCGGUGGAGGCUUUCGAGCACGAAUCGGGCCCGAAAAAUGGCCUGCAAAGCUUCCGAUUUUCUGCUCGGGUUCCUUGGCUAAAGGACUGAUUUGAGCGACUGAUUUUGCGGAGAGAAGGGCUGAACUUGCGGCUGAAUUCGUUGGCGCGGCUGGGCCUGCUUUGCUGACCUCGUGGGGAUGGCAAAAGACUUCGACUCCGCGUGGCUUUAAGGCGGCUGGAAUCUAACGAAUGAAGAUGAAGAACAACCGAAGCCACGUCCAGCGAGUGAGCGAAAAAUGAAAACGAACAGAAGCACAGAGAGAGAGAGAGAGAGAGAGAGAGAGAGAGAGAGAGGAUAAGAUAGAAAAAUCAAAAUGGGGAGACC
rnacentral:lncRNA from 1 species